rnacentral:ncRNA from 1 species
GACGGAUUCAAAAAUUCCAGAUGCGCAAUAUGGUAUUGAAAAAGCUAUGACCUUCGCACUUGCUGCGCAUGCUGGCGCUAAUCGGCUUUGUGA